rnacentral:rRNA from 1 species
CCUACGGGUGGCAGCAGUGGGGAAUAUUGGGCAAUGGAGGCAACUCUGACGCAGCAAUGCCGCGUGAGUGAUGAAGGUAAUUUUAUUGUAAAGCUCUUUUCUUUGGGACGAAUAAAUGACGGUACCAAAGGAAUAAGCCCCGGCUAACUACGUGCCAGCAGCCGCGGUAAUACGGAGGGGGCAGGCGUUGUUCGGGAUGACUGGGCGGAAAGGGUGGGUAGGUGGUUUGUUAAGGUAGAUGUGUAAUACCCAGGGCUUAACUUGGGUGAUGCAUCUAAAACUGUUAGACUUGAGUAUUGGAGAGGAUAGUGGAAUUCCUAGUGUAGCGGUGGAAUGCGUAGAUAUCAGGAGGAAUAUCAGUGGCGAAGGCGACUAUCUGGACAGCAACUGACACUGAGGUACGAAAGCGUGGGGAGCAAACAGGAUUAGAUACCCGUGUAGUC